rnacentral:rRNA from 1 species
CCUACGGGAGGCUGCAGUGGGGAAUAUUGGACAAUGGGGGCAACCCUGAUCCAGCCAUGCCGCGUGUGUGAAGAAGGCCCUCGGGUUGUAAAGCACUUUCAGUGAGGAAGAACGCCUGGUGGUUAAUACCCAUCAGGAAAGACAUCACUCACAGAAGAAGCACCGGCUAACUCCGUGCCAGCAGCCGCGGUAAUACGGAGGGUGCGAGCGUUAAUCGGAAUUACUGGGCGUAAAGCGCGCGUAGGUGGCUUGAUAAGCCGGUUGUGAAAGCCCCGGGCUCAACCUGGGAACGGCAUCCGGAACUGUCAAGCUAGAGUGCAGGAGAGGAAGGUAGAAUUCCCGGUGUAGCGGUGAAAUGCGUAGAGAUCGGGAGGAAUACCAGUGGCGAAGGCGGCCUUCUGGACUGACACUGACCCUGAGGUGCGAAAGCGUGGGUAGCAAACAGGAUUAGAUACCCUUGUAGUC